GACGAACGCUGGCGGCGUGCUUAACACAUGCAAGUCGAACGGAAAGGCCCUGCUUUUGUGGGGUGCUCGAGUGGCGAACGGGUGAGUAACACGUGAGUAACCUGCCCUUGACUUUGGGAUAACUUCAGGAAACUGGGGCUAAUACCGGAUAGGAGCUCCUGCUGCAUGGUGGGGGUUGGAAAGUUUCGGCGGUUGGGGAUGGACUCGCGGCUUAUCAGCUUGUUGGUGGGGUAGUGGCUUACCAAGGCUUUGACGGGUAGCCGGCCUGAGAGGGUGACCGGCCACAUUGGGACUGAGAUACGGCCCAGACUCCUACGGGAGGCAGCAGUGGGGAAUAUUGCACAAUGGGCGGAAGCCUGAUGCAGCAACGCCGCGUGCGGGAUGACGGCCUUCGGGUUGUAAACCGCUUUCGCCUGUGACGAAGCGUGAGUGACGGUAAUGGGUAAAGAAGCACCGGCUAACUACGUGCCAGCAGCCGCGGUGAUACGUAGGGUGCGAGCGUUGUCCGGAUUUAUUGGGCGUAAAGGGCUCGUAGGUGGUUGAUCGCGUCGGAAGUGUAAUCUUGGGGCUUAACCCCUGAGCGUGCUUUCGAUACGGGUUGACUUGAGGAAGGUAGGGGAGAAUGGAAUUCCUGGUGGAGCGGUGGAAUGCGCAGAUAUCAGGAGGAACACCAGUGGCGAAGGCGGUUCUCUGGGCCUUUCCUGACGCUGAGGAGCGAAAGCGUGGGGAGCGAACAGGCUUAGAUACCCUGGUAGUCCACGCUGUAAACGGUGGGUACUAGGUGUGGGGUCCAUUCCACGGGUUCCGUGCCGUAGCUAACGCUUUAAGUACCCCGCCUGGGGAGUACGGCCGCAAGGCUAAAACUCAAAGGAAUUGACGGGGCCCCGCACAAGCGGCGGAGCAUGCGGAUUAAUUCGAUGCAACGCGUAGAACCUUACCUGGGUUUGACAUGGAUCGGGAGUGCUCAGAGAUGGGUGUGCCUCCUUUGGGGUCGGUUCACAGGUGGUGCAUGGCUGUCGUCAGCCCGUGUCGUGAGAUGUUGGGUUAAGUCCCGCAACGAGCGCAACCCUUGUUCACUGUUGCCAGCACGUUAUGGUGGGGACUCAGUGGAGACCGCCGGGGUCAACUCGGAGGAAGGUGGGGAUGACGUCAAGUCAUCAUGCCCCUUAUGUCCAGGGCUUCACGCAUGCUACAAUGGCUGGUACAGAGAGUGGCGAGCCUGUGAGGGUGAGCGAAUCUCGGAAAGCCGGUCUCAGUUCGGAUUGGGGUCUGCAACUCGACCUCAUGAAGUCGGAGUCGCUAGUAAUCGCAGAUCAGCAACGCUGCGGUGAAUACGUUCCCGGG
rnacentral:rRNA from 1 species